AUAUCUAUAUUUUAAUAGAUAGGUAAAAUGCUUGGUUGCGGGCCUGGAGGAUAUGGGUUCGAAUCCCUUUAGAUAUA
rnacentral:tRNA from 1 species